GGCGGCGGCAGCAGCUGACAGGAUUGGGGCUGCCUUGCUUUUGCUUUCCCCGAAGAUCGCGCAGUUGGAAGGGACCACGCGGCAUCUAGCGCAACCCCCCCCCCAAAUGCAGGAAUUUCCCCCGCCGCGCGGGAUUCGAACCCAGGACUCUGCGAUUAAGAUUCUCACGCUGUGCUGCUGAGUGAGCAACCAGGGAUUGCAAGCGAUCCGCUUCUCGGGAGUAGGUGGGGCGUCCGGUUUGCUGGGGGGUUUUGGGGGGGGUUGCAAAGAGAAGCAUGGUGUUAGCGAAGGCAGCGUUGCACAGUCCCUGCUUCGGAGCAGCUGCUUGGCUUGCAGAAGGGACCGGCUUCAAUCCGCGACAUCUCCCUGUUUGUGAACCCUGGGGAGCUGCUGCCAGUCCGUGUAGACAACACGGAGCUAGGCAGAGCGGUAGGUCGGACUUAGGAACUCAGGGAAGGGCCUGAUUGCGAAGUCUGCUGCUGCUGCUACUGGAGCUUUAAGAACCUGCCUACAAUUUAAGGUGGCGCUGCGAUUUCUGCAGGGUGAGCAGAAACUACGGAGAAAGUUGCAUUUGUUUUGGUUUUUAAAAAAUCAGACUCGCCUUUAUUUAUGAAUUAAAUUUAACACUUCCAUCCUCCGGGUGGUACUUGUGGUCAGACUCAUUCCCUGCCUUCCACGUGCCCCCCACCCCGUGCUGGACCCAGUGAGUCCCGUGCUGGGAUGUUUCUCUUUAAUGGGGUUUGCCAGUAAAACGUUCUUCGAUAACUUUGCAUUGUCAGUUUCACAGAACGCUCAGUUAGCCUUAAUGAAGUACAGAGUGUUUAGGGAAGUUUUUUAUGUAUUUUUAAUCUUUGUUGGAAGCUGCCCAGAGUGGCUGGGGAAACUCAGCCAGAUGGGCGGGGUACAAAUAAUAA
rnacentral:lncRNA from 1 species